GACGAACCGUGCGAACGUUGUUCGGAAUCACUGGGCUUAAAGGGCGCGUAGGCGGCUCAUCAAGUCCGGGGGUGAAAGCCCCCCAGCUCAACUGGGGGAAGUGCCUCGGAUACUGGGUGAGCUCGAGGGGAGGUAGGGGCGGAUGGAACUUCCGGUGGAGCGGUGAAAUGCGUUGAUAUCGGAAGGAACGCCGGUGGCGAAAGCGAUCCGCUGGCCCUCGUACUGACGCUGAGGCGCGAAAGCCAGGGGGAGCAAACGGG
rnacentral:rRNA from 1 species